rnacentral:rRNA from 1 species
UACAGAGGGUGCAAGCGUUAAUCGGAUUUACUGGGCGUAAAGCGUGCGUAGGUGGUGAUGUAAGUCGGAUGUGAAAGCCCUGGGCUUAACCUGGGAACUGCAUUCGAUACUGCAUUACUAGAGUUCGGUAGAGGGCGGCGGAAUUCCGGGUGUAGCGGUGAAAUGCGUAGAUAUCCGGAGGAACACCGAUGGCGAAGGCAACCGCCUGGGCCUGAACUGACACUGAGGCACGAAAGCGUGGGGAGCAAACAGG